rnacentral:lncRNA from 1 species
GUAGGAUUUUAUCCAACGGGAGGUUCAUCUGUUGCAUCAGAUCAUUAAUCUGAUGGUUCUUCCAUUGCACCAGAUGGUUAAUUAGUUGCAUCAAAUUUUUUAUCCGAAGCUUAAUCUGUUGCAACAUAUGGUAAAGUUGUUGCAUCAAAUUAUUAAUCUGUUGCAUCAGAAUUAUAAUCUGAUGGUUCCUCUGGUGCAUCAGAUGGUUGAUCUGUUGCAUCAUAUGAUGAAUUUGUUGCAUCAGAUGGUUAAUAU